UGGGGAAUAUUGCACAAUGGGCGAAAGCCUGAUGCAGCAACGCCGCGUGAGCGAUGAAGGCCUUCGGGUCGUAAAGCUCUGUCCUCAAGGAAGAUAAUGACGGUACUUGAGGAGGAAGCCCCGGCUAACUACGUGCCAGCAGCCGCGGUAAUACGUAGGGGGCUAGCGUUAUCCGGAAUUACUGGGCGUAAAGGGUGCGUAGGUGGUUUUUUAAGUCAGAAGUGAAAGGCUACGGCUCAACCGUAGUAAGCUUUUGAAACUGAGAAACUUGAGUGCAGGAGAGGAGAGUAGAAUUCCUAGUGUAGCGGUGAAAUGCGUAGAUAUUAGGAGGAAUACCAGUUGCGAAGGCGGCUCUCUGGACUGUAACUGACACUGAGGCACGAAAGCGUGGGGAGCAAACAGGAUUAGAUACCCCCGUAGUCC
rnacentral:rRNA from 1 species